rnacentral:rRNA from 1 species
GAUGAACGCUGGCGGUAUGCUUAACACAUGCAAGUCGAACGGGGUUCAUAGUCACCUAGUGGCGGACGGGUGAGUAACGCGUGAGAAUCUGGCCUCAGGUCCGGGACAACCACGGGAAACGGUGGCUAAUACCGGAUGUGCCAUAUUGGUGAAAGAUUAAUUGCCUGAGGAUGAGCUCGCGUCUGAUUAGCUAGUUGGUGGGGUAAAGGCUUACCAAGGCGACGAUCAGUAACUGGUCUGAGAGGAUGACCAGUCACACUGGGACUGAGACACGGCCCAGACUCCUACGGGAGACAGCAGUGGGGAAUUUUCCGCAAUGGGCGAAAGCCUGACGGGGCAAUACCGCGUGAGGGAGGAAGGCUCUUGGGUUGUAAACCUCUUUUCUCAGGGAAGAAGAAUGACGGUACCUGAGGAAUCAGCAUCGGCUAACUCCGUG